UACGUAGGAUGCAAGCGUUGUCCGGAAUUAUUGGGCGUAAAGGGUGCGCAGGCGGUUUUUCAAGUCAGAUGUGAAAUAUCCCGGCUUAACUGGGAGGGGCCAUUUGAAACUGAAAGACUAGAGUGCAGGAGAGGAUAGCGGAAUUCCCGGUGUAGUGGUGAAAUGCGUAGAUAUCGGGAGGAACACCAGUGGCGAAGGCGGCUAUCUGGCCUGCAACUGACGCUGAGGCACGAAAGCUAGGGGAGCGAAUGGG
rnacentral:rRNA from 1 species